rnacentral:misc_RNA from 1 species
GAAAGGAUUCGGCUUGAGUUGGAACAUUUCUAUUCCGAUGUCUCCUUAACAUAAACACAACAAUUGAGCCAAGUACCACUACUGCAGCUCCCAGUGAGACAAGUAUAUUCAGUAGCAGUUUGCUUAUCCUUGAAUGACGAAAAGACCUAGUCCUGGGAUUUCACCUUCUAAUCUGUUGAAUGAUACAAUGAAAUACUUCACAUAUCGAAGUGACUCUAUUGAUUUUGGAAUGGUACCUGAAAGAAUGUUAUUGGAUAGAUUAACCGAUUCCAAACUAAUCAUUU